CCAACCAAAAAAAUAAAAACGUCUUAUCUCUCCCUCUCUACGUUUGGUGUUCAAACUGUUAGUCUCUCUGUUUCUCUCUCUCUCUAUCUCCUCCUCCAUUCCUCCUCCACCACCAUUGUUCCACCUCCACAAGUUGCCGGCAGAGAGAAAAAAAAAAAAAAAAAGCCGAAUUGUUUUUAUUUGUGAGUACUCUCUUUCUAUUUUUCCUUUCUUUUCUGGUGUGAGUGCAUUUUUUUUUAUCUGGUCUGACUCUCUCCAGAACUCUACGUUGCUUUUCUGGUCCUUUAUCCGCAAUUGGAUCCAUACUCACAGGAAUUGACUACAUAGGUCUAGGCCAUGUGAUGGUGUUUGCUAAUGGGGGAUUACUCCCAAGCUUUGGAAGAAUUAUCAAGAGAGCAAUAAGGUUGGAGACACGAAAAGGCAGUCACGGGGUUGCAAUUGCAUAUGUUGAUGUGGUUAGCACAAUCAUCUUUCAACAUUUGAGUUUAACACUUGUGCUAGGCACCCCUAAAAUAUUGCAGAAGAGAUUCAGUGCAAAGGGGCUGUUAUAAAGCAAAUGUUCCUCAAAAGUAUGCCAGGAGAUGAGAGGAUUCCUAUAGUGCUCAUGGAUAAUGACAUUAUUUCCCCCCUCUUUUAUAGAAAGAAAAAAUAAAAUAAGAUUUGAAUUUUUCCUUUGAUUGUCCAUUUACUUGGCAUUGUUAUGAUUCAAACAUAUUUCACAUUUUGAGAGGAAAAAAAAAAUUAAAAUGGAUUUCAAUGAACAACUUUUUUCUUCUAUUAGCUGCCAAUCUUAUUGAGCAGGUAUGAAAUCAAAAUGUUUCUCCUGGAAAAUUAAGUACCCCAUUGAUGUUACCAUAUGAUGAAUGUAAGGCUAUGAACAUUGUUGAUUUGUUAUACUUUAAUUUCUUGUAAUGACUUUCUAUGAUUGUCAAACAACUUUCUGUGGUGGUGAUUGUGUCUGGUUCCAUGCUAA